rnacentral:rRNA from 1 species
GGGACACGUGGUAUCCUGUCUGAAUAUGGGGGGACCAUCCUCCAAGGCUAAAUACUCCUGACUGACCGAUAGUGAACCAGUACCGUGAGGGAAAGGCGAAAAGAACCCCGGCGAGGGGAGUGAAAAAGAACCUGAAACCGUGUACGUACAAGCAGUGGGAGCCUCUUAAUGGGGUGACUGCGUACCUUUUGUAUAAUGGGUCAGCGACUUAUAUUCUGUAGCAAGGUUAACCGAAUAGGGGAGCCGAAGGGAAACCGAGUCUUAACUGGGCGUUAAGUUGCAGGGUAUAGACCCGAAACCCGGUGAUCUAGCCAUGGGCAGGUUGAAGGUUGGGUAACACUAACUGGAGGACCGAACCGACUAAUGUUGAAAAAUUAGCGGAUGACUUGUGGCUGGGGGUGAAAGGCCAAUCAAACCGGGAGAUAGCUGGUUCUCCCCGAAAGCUAUUUAGGUAGCGCCUCGUGAAUUCAUCUCCGGGGGUAGAGCACUGUUUCGGCAAGGGGGUCAUCCCGACUUACCAACCCGAUGCAAACUGCGAAUACCGGAGAAUGUUAUCACGGGAGACACACGGCGGGUGCUAACGUCCGUCGUGAAGAGGGAAACAACCCAGACCGCCAGCUAAGGUCCCAAAGUCAUGGUUAAGUGGGAAACGAUGUGGGAAGGCCCAGACAGCCAGGAUGUUGGCUUAGAAGCAGCCAUCAUUUAAAGAAAGCGUAAUAGCUCACUGGUCGAGUCGGCCUGCGCGGAAGAUGUAACGGGGCUAAACCAUGCACCGAAGCUGCGGCAGCGACACUAUGUGUUGUUGGGUAGGGGAGCGUUCUGUAAGCCUGUGAAGGUGUACUGUGAGGUAUGCUGGAGGUAUCAGAAGUGCGAAUGCUGACAUAAGUAACGAUAAAGCGGGUGAAAAGCCCGCUCGCCGGAAGACCAAGGGUUCCUGUCCAACGUUAAUCGGGGCAGGGUGAGUCG